rnacentral:rRNA from 1 species
UACGGGGGGGGCAAGCGUUGUUCGGAAUUACUGGGCGUAAAGGGCUCGUAGGCGGCCAACUAAGUCCGACGUGAAAUCCCCAGGCUUAACCUGGGAACUGCGUCGGAUACUGGUUGGCUUGAAUCCGGGAGAGGGAUGCGGAAUUCCAGGUGUAGCGGUGAAAUGCGUAGAUAUCUGGAGGAACACCGGUGGCGAAGGCGGCAUCCUGGACCGACACUGACGCUGAGGCGCGAAAGCGUGGGGAGCAAACAGG